UGAGGAAUAUUGGGCAAUGCCCGCAAGGGUGACCCAGCAACGCCGCGUGGAGGAUGAAUGUCGUAAGAUUGUAAACUCCUGUUAGAGGGGAAGAAUAGUACCGGUUGGACCGGUAUAUGACUGUACCCUCAGAGAAAGCCCCGGCUAACUACGUGCCAGCAGCCGCGGUAAUACGUAGGGGGCAAGCGUUGUCCGGAUGUACUGGGGGUAAAGGGCGCGCAGGCGGGAUAAAAAGUCAGUGGUGAAAUCCUACAGCUUAACUGUAGAACUGCCUUUGAUACUUUUAUUCUUGAGUUCGGGAGAGAGAGACGGAAUUCCAGGUGUAGUGGUGAAAUACGUAGAUAUCUGGAAGAACACCAGUUGCGAAGGCGGUCUCUUGGUCCGACACUGACGCUGAGGCGCGAAAGCGUGGGGAGCAAACA
rnacentral:rRNA from 1 species